rnacentral:sRNA from 1 species
GAUAUCAGGGUCAAAAGGUCAAAAAGUCGUUCGUGCUUGCACGAUAAGACUUUUGAACUUGGGACCCGCCAAACAUGAGAAAGUAGCGAUUUACGUAGUAAAUCAGCGAAUUUCGAAUGUUUGAGAAUUGCGGGAGCUGCUUUGCAGCGGAGCAAUUCGUAGAUAUC